CUGGCAGGUGCGGGGGUGGGAGCCGUCUCCGCGGGAGCAGCCUUGCCAAAGGUCCGGCUGCUGACGUCCGAGCGCCCGCUCCUGUCAAUGAACGGCAGCGGUAGCCUGGGGACUGUUCUGGCAACGAGGCUACAGACGUCAUCGCCUCCUGUUGGACGCGGGGGGGUGUCCGAGCAGCAUCUCCGGCUUAAAGGGAAACUCUCUAAGUUCCGGGCAGCCGGGAGAGUCGUUCCUGAGAGCACAAGCACCCCCAAAUGUGAAGUGCACUCGGACACACACACACACACACACGCACGCACACACAAGCACUCAUGUUCUAAAGAGAGAGGUCUGAGUCCGAAGUUGCUGCUGCUGGGAGCUUGAGCUGAGAUGGACUGGUCUUCAUGGGCGCCCAAGGCGCUGGGUGCAGCUUUCCCCGAGACCCCCAGAUGGAAAGGAGGGAAGGAGGAACCCCACACACUCGCCUUUUGCGAGAAGAUCGGCGCGCACCCCAGAGUGCCCCAAGCCUUUGGAAUCUGCCUGCUGAGCGGAGCGCGCGAGCGUGGUGGACAGGUCCCGAACUUGGCCAGCGGGCUUUCUUGGCAACUUGCUUUGCGCAGUUCUCCAUGGAACCCUGGACCCACUGUGCUCCCGGCGCCUUGCCUUUUUUUUUCUUUUUCUUUCUCUCACUGUCUCUUUUUAAAUUUAUGAACUCGAAAUGAAGCGGAAAGCAGAUAUGCGCGUCAGCAUACUUUGGCGGUUCUUCAUGUGGGGGAUGGUCAGCGGGAGAUGGCACUUCAUAAGAUCUGCGGUGGUCACCCCAGUCAUCAUCCGACGUGUUGCACCAGUCUGUGGCACUUCAUAAGGUCUGCAGUGGUCACCCCAGUCAUCAUCCGAUGUGUUGCACCAGUUUGUGGCACUUCAUAAGUUCUGCGGUGGUCACCCCAGUCAUCAUCCGACGUGUUGCACCAGUGUGUGUUGCUGUUUGAGCCGUGCUGCCGACCCCUUCCAGGGCAUCUGCCAUGGGCACCUCCUCCAGCCCGUGCACUAAGACUCAAGAGAGUCGAAGAACCAGGGAAUCGUUGUAAUAACAAGCAUUCUGAAUUGCAUCGUACUGUGUACUAGCUUACAGGAAAUAUGGGAGAUAGAGGAAAAGACAAAAUGACUCCAUGAGGAAAUACCCAGACACGCCCAGAAGAUGAAAUGUGGUCUUCAUCAAUGACUGCACGUCAUUGAUAAAGAAGCUGUGGUAGAUUAGGAGCAACCUAAGGAAAGCAACAAG
rnacentral:lncRNA from 10 species